CUGCGUGCUCUGGGGUCGGUGCAAUUCCGAACCGGCGGUGACAGUCCGCGACCCGAUGGCAGCCAGCUAUCGGUUGACCAGGUGAAACUCCUGGACCGACGGUGAAAGUCCGGAUGGGAAGCGCACGCUG
rnacentral:ncRNA from 2 species